UUAGAGUGUAGAGGAGGCAGGGUAGUCUAGUGGUUAGAGUGUAGAGGUGGCAGGUAGCCUAGUGGUUAGAGUGUAGAGGCGGCAGGUAGCCUAGUGGUUAGAGUGUAGAGGUGGCAGGUAGCCUAGUGGUUAGAGUGUAGAGGCGGCAGGUAGCCUAGUGGUUAGAGUGUAGAGGUGGCAGGUAGCCUAGUGGUUAGAGUGUAGAGGUGGCAGGUAGCCUAGUGGUUAGAGUGUAGAGGUGGCAGGUAGCCUAGUGGUUAGAGUGUAGAGGUGGCAGGUAGUCUAGUGGUUAGAGUGUAGAGGUGGCAGGGUAGCCUAGUGGUUAGAGUGUAGAGGUGGCAGGUAGCCUAGUGGUUAGAGUUUAGAGGUGGCAGGUAGCCUAGUGGUUAGAGUGUAGAGGUGGCAGGUAGCCUAGUGGUUAGAGUGUAGAGGUGGCAGGUAGCCUAGUGGUUAGAGUGUAGAGGUGGCAGGGUAGCCUAGUGGUUAGAGUGUAGAGGUGGCAGGUAGCCUAGUGGUUAGAGUGUAGAGGUGGCAGGUAGCCUAGUGGUUAGAGUGUAGAGGAGGCAGGUAGCCUAGUGGUUAGAGUGUAGAGGUGGCAGGUAGCCUAGUGGUUAGAGUGUAGAGGAGGCAGGUAGCCUAGUGGUUAGAGUGUAGAGGUGGCAGGUAGCCUAGUGGUUAGAGUGUAGAGGUGGCAGGUAGCCUAGUGGUUAGAGUGUAGAGGAGGCAGGUAGCCUAGUGGUUAGAGUGUAGAGGCGGCAGGUAGCCUAGUGGUUAGAGUGUAGAGGUGGCAGGUAGCCUAGUGGUUAGAGUGUAGGGGCGGCAGGUAGCCUAGUGGUUAGAGUGUAGAGGUGGCAGGUAGCCUAGUGGUUAGAGUGUAGAGGCGGCAGGUAGCCUAGUGGUUAGAGUGUAGAGGUGGCAGGUAGCCUAGUGGUUAGAGUGUAGAGGUGGCAGGUAGCCUAGUGGUUAGAGUGUAGAGGUGGCAGGUAGCCUAGUGGUUAGAGUGUAGAGGUGGCAGGUAGCCUAGUGGUUAGAGUGUAGAGGAGGCAGGUAGCCUAGUGGUUAGAGUGUAGAGGCGGCAGGUAGCCUAGUGGUUAGAGUGUAGAGGUGGCAGGUAGCCUAGUGGUUAGAGUGUAGAGGCGGCAGGUAGCCUAGUGGUUAGAGUGUAGAGGUGGCAGGUAGCCUAGUGGUUAGAGUGUAGAGGUGGCAGGUAGCCUAGUGGUUAGAGUGUAGAGGUGGCAGGUAGCCUAGUGGUUAGAGUGUAGAGGUGGCAGGUAGUCUAGUGGUUAGAGUGUAGAGGUGGCAGGUAGCCUAGUGGUUAGAGUGUAGAGGUGGCAGGUAGCCUAGUGGUUAGAGUUUAGAGGUGGCAGGUAGCCUAGUGGUUAGAGUGUAGAGGUGGCAGGUAGCCUAGUGGUUAGAGUGUAGAGGUGGCAGGUAGCCUAGUGGUUAGAGUGUAGAGGUGGCAGGGUAGCCUAGUGGUUAGAGUGUAGAGGUGGCAGGUAGCCUAGUGGUUAGAGUGUAGAGGUGGCAGGUAGCCUAGUGGUUAGAGUGUAGAGGAGGCAGGUAGCCUAGUGGUUAGAGUGUAGAGGUGGCAGGUAGCCUAGUGGUUAGAGUGUAGAGGAGGCAGGUAGCCUAGUGGUUAGAGUGUAGAGGUGGCAGGUAGCCUAGUGGUUAGAGUGUAGAGGUGGCAGGUAGCCUAGUGGUUAGAGUGUAGAGGAGGCAGGUAGCCUAGUGGUUAGAGUGUAGAGGCGGCAGGUAGCCUAGUGGUUAGAGUGUAGAGGUGGCAGGUAGCCUAGUGGUUAGAGUGUAGAGGUGGCAGGUAGCCUAGUGGUUAGAGUGUAGAGGUGGCAGGUAGCCUAGUGGUUAGAGUGUAGAGGUGGCAGGUAGCCUAGUGGUUAGAGUGUAGAGGAGGCAGGUAGCCUAGUGGUUAGAGUGUA